rnacentral:lncRNA from 1 species
AAAUCAUUAAACUAAUAUUGUAUAUAUAUUUUUAAUUAUAUAUAUUGUAUAUAUUGAGUUAAGCAUAUCAACUUCAUGCUCUUCCUCAUAAUCAUCAUCCUCAUCAUCAUCAUCCAAGUACCACCUAACCAUCUGCAAAGCAUUAAAAUCACAUAUAUAUAAGUUGAUGUUGGUCACAUUAAAAAACAGACGAGCAAACAACUUCCAAUUUAAAAAAAACAGACGAGCAAAAAAAACAGACGAGCUUCCUAUCACAUUAAAAAAAAACAACUCAAACCCAUGUCUGAAAACAUUCACAGGAACUCAAACCCAUAAAACCAUGUCUGAUAAUCGGAUUAAAAACAGAGAUUUGAUAAUCAAAUACUGGCCAUUUUUUAAAGACUGUAUUGGAGCAUGGGUUUGAGUUCUUGUUCUAUUCUAACACAAAAUCACACACCAGAUCGCCCCAUUUUCUGGUAACCACACACUUAGUUUCUCUUGUUCUUGUUCUGAUUAUACCAUAACCCAUAUCAAGAAUCAAAAAACCCAACAUCCAACUUAAUUAAUCUAUUCUAACACAAAACGCUAAGAGAGAGAGAGAGAGAGAGAGAGAGAGAACUGACCUUUAAAAGAGCUAAGGCGUGAGAGAUGGUGGAGAGAAGCGUGAGAGAUGGAGAAGAGAGAUCGUGAGAGAUGGUGAAGAGAGGUGUGAGAGAUGGAGAUGAGAGAUCGUGAGAGAUGGUGAAGAGAGGUGUGAGAGAGGCGUGAGAGAUGGUGAAGGGAGAGAGAGAGAGAGCUGAGGCCUGAGAGACCGUGAGAGAUGGUGAAGAGAGAGAGAGAGAGAGAGAGAGAGAGAGAGAGAGAAGAGAGGCGUGAGAGAGAGCUGAGGCGUGAGAAAUUAUUUUAGGAUUUAGGUUAAUGGUAUUGUUUUGUAAUUUUGAAGAUAGAUUGAGGGUGUUUUUGUAUUUUGAGUUUUUUUUUUUUUUCUGAUAGCAGGUUUUGGUCGCAAACGCUGAAUUUCUUGGCGAUCAAAAUUUUUAAUCGCGGGUCGCUAGCAUCUGGUCGCUGCGAUCAGUCGCUGAACGUACGACCGGUAAACGAAAAACGUUUAGACGCUCAGGUUGGUCGCUGACGCUAGCGACCUCCAAACGAACAUGGCCUAAAUUGUAACAAAAUAAAAUUUAUUUUCACUUUAAAUGUAUAACGUUUUAAUUUUGACUAAUUUUAAAUAAAAUAAAUAAAGUAUACAAAUCAACUAAAACAAAAUAAAAAUAUAUAUAAAUAAACAAAAUAUAAAAUUAAUGAAUUUUAAUAAAUAAAUAUAAACUUAUAUGAGAUAAAUAUAAUUAAUCAAAAAUAAUUAUUGUAUUAAAUCAUCAAAAUUAAAUUAAAAAGUUAACAAUAUAAAAUA